rnacentral:rRNA from 1 species
UACGGAGGGAGCUAGCGUUGUUCGGAAUUACUGGGCGUAAAGCGCGCGUAGGCGGCUUUGUAAGUUAGAGGUGAAAGCCCGGAGCUCAACUCCGGAACUGCCUUUAAAACUGCAUCGCUUGAAUCCAGGAGAGGUGAGUGGAAUUCCGAGUGUAGAGGUGAAAUUCGUAGAUACUCGGAAGAACACCAGUGGCGAAGGCGGCUCACUGGACUGGUAUUGACGCUGAGGUGCGAAAGCGUGGGGAGCAAACAGG